UGCUGUCCGACAUUCGUGAGGUUCAGAAGUGCAUUGUAUAUUGAAUAUAAAGUGUUUGCCCUUUUAUUAUUUCAGUAACGCCUGAUUCCUUUCUUUUUUCUCCUCUUUCGCUUGGGUGGGGACUGUGCAGUCACCGAGAAGCCUCUUUUAACGUACAUCUAUCUUAUUGGAUAGGAUUUGUUCUUCCUACGCAGACAAUAUACUGCAAUGAUUGGAUGCUGAUCUAGGCUAAAAAGGGGUAAAGGGCUCUGCGAGAUGACUGAUUUUAUGAUUUCUAUGUUAUAUGGUAGGAGCCAAAAAUUAUGAAACUUUUGUUGAAUAUUCUUUCUAUUCUAUCUGAAUAUUAUAAUCUCAUAAAAUAAGAAAAUUGGAAAUUGUAUAAAAUUUAGAAGGAUAAAUUUGCGACAAAUGAAAAUAUGGAAUAUAUAAAAGAAUGAAGCUUGAACGAAAUAUGCAUCGAAUUUUCAGUAUGA